GAUCACCGGUUCCCGUACGAUCGCCGAAGUUAAGCAACGUCGAAAAUGGUCAGUACCUAGAUGGGUGACAGUUUGGAAAUACCAAGUGCU